rnacentral:misc_RNA from 1 species
UCCGGUUUAUCACCGGCAGUCUCCACAGAGUUCUCACCAUUACGUGUUAGUAACUGUGAACAAGGGUUGCGCUCGUUGCGGGACUUAACCCAACAUCUCACGACACGAGCUGACGACAGCCAUGCAGCACCUCUACAGCGUCCUCCGAAGAGGGGAUCUCAUCUCUGAGACUUUCCGCUGCAGUUCAAACCCAGGUAAGGUUCUUCGCGUUGCGUCGAAUUGAACCACAUGCUCCACCGCUUGUGCGGGCCCCCGUCAAUUCCUUUGAGUUUCAGCCUUGCGACUGUACUCCCCAGGCGGCAUAUUUAACGCGUUAGCUCCGGCACGGACAGAAUGAACUGCCCACACCAAAUAUGCAUCGUUUAGGGCGUGGACUAC